GGGACUGUGGCUUAGUGGUAGAGUGCUUGCCUAGCAUGCAUGAAGCCCUGGGUUUGAUUCCUCAGCACCA
rnacentral:tRNA from 1 species